UACGGAGGGGGCUAGCGUUGUUCGGAAUUACUGGGCGUAAAGCGCACGUAGGCGGACUGUUAAGUCGGGGGUGAAAUCCUGGGGCUCAACCUCAGAAUUGCCUCCGAUACUGGCAGUCUCGAGUGCGGGAGAGGUGAGUGGAAUUCCCAGUGUAGAGGUGAAAUUCGUAGAUAUUGGGAAGAACACCAGUGGCGAAGGCGGCUCACUGGCCCGUAACUGACGCUGAGGUGCGAAAGCGUGGGGAGCGAUCCGG
rnacentral:rRNA from 1 species